UCAGGGAUUAUAGUGCUCUUUGAUUCUUCAGCUGUAGAAAAUGCAUUGGAAUUACAGGUCAUGUGUAGAUUUGGUCGCAGCAGUAGAAGAUUGAGAACAAGGAAGCUAUUGAUAAACUGCUUCUCUCUCACCAUACCAGCUAUUCUGUUUGCAGUGUUUGGAGGAGGAAAAGGCUGAAGGCUGGCUGCCCAUCCCUCUCUUAGGUGGGGUCAGCAGAUUCACGAGGGAGGAGGCUGACUUUUUUUUUUUUUCCAACACAGGCUUAAAAGUUGAGAUCAGCUGGGACCCUCAAGCUAACAGUCCCCAUCUGGAUCCUGGAUGUUCUCAGUUAAGGCCCCUCAGAUUUGGAAUUUGCCUUCAGUUUGGUGUUCAUUGUCCACAAACACACACAUCUGCAUGUCUAAUGCAGCAGGCACAAGUGAUGCUGAACAGGAUCCUGGACAUGGGCAAUGUUCUGCAUACAGCAAAGAGGAUGAGAACCCCCAAGAAGGGACAAGAGAAGAAGAGCAAUCUUGCUGUGAAUUGUUUCCCUCAGUGCCCCCUAGUUCAGGUGCAAACUGUGUAUGGUCUGGAGAAUAUAUGUUCUCUUCACAUAUUUUAUUUCUUCCAUUCCCUGCCUUGAAUAAGCCAUCAGAGAUAGUGGGUAUGCUCUGCCCCUCCCUGCUGUACACCUCACAUAUAAGGACAUCAUGUCAGCAAGCCAGGAGUAGCACCCAAGUCUUAGCUUGUCUACAUCUAGGCGAGGUGCCCAGGGAAUCUACUUUAAUGAGCAGUGUGCCAUCCUUGUCAGUGAUAAUAGCCCUGCUCCUACACAAAGAUUGCUCACCCGGCCUCUGCAUCCCACCCAACAUGUUUGCCUUAUAACCUUUCAUUCCCUUCCAGUAAUGUUCUCUGGGCUUAUGUUGCUCCCUUUGUGGGGCAGGGGAGUUAAUGGUGUAUGGGGCAGUGAGUACAUUUUUUUUAGGAUGUUUAGGGAGGGGUUGACUGGAGCUAAUAUUGUGUGUCAUCCCUGUUCUGAGUUCUCUAGUUAAGCCCAAAUUACAGGUGAAAAUGUUUCUUUGAGUGGGGGUUGGACCAUUUGGACAGUCCCCAGUAAUUUAAAAGCAGUUUGGCCUAUUGCUUUCUAUUAUCCCUUUGUUCUGGGUGGAUGCAUAGAGUUUUGGUAUGGGUAGGAAACGGUGAACCCAUGUAUCCCACCUGUGUGUGUAAUUUCAGCCCUGUAUAGGGAAACAUGUGAAAAACAGUUGCUCCUCCUGACUUAUGCCAUGUUGUCAACUCUCACAAUAUUAUUGUGGUUCUUGGGAGAUUUGGUGUUUUCUUAGUCUGCGUUCCUGGAUGCAUGUGAUUAAGUAAGACUCUCUCUGCAUUUAUUUACAAAAAAUGUAAGUUUCUAGACAUCAUGACUGUGGAGAAAAGCUUGAAAAUGUGACCCAAGUGUAUCCUAGAGUCUAAAAAACAGAUGGCAAAUGAAAACAACUCAAUAUGUGUUAUUUUUU